rnacentral:rRNA from 1 species
CCUACGGAUGGCAGCAGUGGGGAAUAUUGGACAAUGGGGGGAACCCUGAUCCAGCCAUGCCGCGUGUGUGAAGAAGGCCCUCGGGUUGUAAAGCACUUUCAGUGAGGAAGAACGCCUGGUGGUUAAUACCCAUCAGGAAAGACAUCACUCACAGAAGAAGCACCGGCUAACUCCGUGCCAGCAGCCGCGGUAAUACGGAGGGUGCGAGCGUUAAUCGGAAUUACUGGGCGUAAAGCGCGCGUAGGUGGCUUGAUAAGCCGGUUGUGAAAGCCCCGGGCUCAACCUGGGAACGGCAUCCGGAACUGUCAAGCUAGAGUGCAGGAGAGGAAGGUAGAAUUCCCGGUGUAGCGGUGAAAUGCGUAGAGAUCGGGAGGAAUACCAGUGGCGAAGGCGGCCUUCUGGACUGACACUGACACUGAGGUGCGAAAGCGUGGGUAGCAAACAGGAUUAGAUACCCCAGUAGUC